CCGGGCUGCGCGGCGGCGCGGCAGAAGGUGAAGGAGCAGCGCGAGGCGCGCAGCCGCCGCACCGUGGCGAGCACCAAGGCGGCCGGCCGGCGCCCCCAGCGCGCCCACAGGGAGGCUUAUGGUGUGCAGAAGCUUUUCACGUACAAAGGACAGAGACAUGCAGAGGACACGGAGAGACGCUUUUGACAAAACCAACCCUGGUCGCCCCGCCAUCCUGACUUCUAGCUCCCACACCGUGUAGUACUUUUUUUACAGCAACCUUGGCAGAGAUGCCACCCUUGAACCACCAGGCCUGGCUGCCCUGUUCUCAGAAUGUGAUGCCGCAGAGCCAUAGGUGUGCUUGCUCCUACACGUGACGUUUCCUUCCUGCUUCCUAAAGAACCCUGCAGAGGCCAGACUGACAGGGCUGCCUGACUUUGGCCUUCAGACUCCGAAACUGUGAACUGAAUAAACUCUACUGACUCAUCACCCGACGUCCAGCAUUUGUUAUACCAACAGGAAACAGAGAGGAAUCGUGGCUGCAGCUACAUGGGAGGCUAAGGUAGAGGAGUCACUUCAACCCAAAGGGUCAAGACCAGCCUGGGCACAUAA